AUCUACACUUAAGUUUUGAAAGAAGGAAAGAAAGAAAGAGAGACAGAAAAAGAAAGAAAGAAAAGAAAGAGAGAAAGAAAGGUUGCUGUAGUUAGAGUCAGAAGAAGAGUUUGUUGAAGAAGUAGAAUUUGUUGAAGUUGUUAAUUCUGGUAAUAACUGCUAACCAGCUGCUAGAUAGAAAAUAUGAAGAGAGAAAAAUCGAGCCCUAGGUCACCAUUACUUCACUGUGCCUCUGACAUUAGCUCUUCCCCCAGGAUAUACAUAGUACGUAUUAUUAUACAGAAGUUAUUGAAGUGUCUAACAGGCUCUUUAUGAAAACAUACUCAGAAUAUUCACAUGUGGUCUUCACACAUUUGGAGAUAUGCUUCCUGAGAGAAAGGACCACGCUUCUCCUGUUUACCAUGCUGUCUCCCACUCUAGCACAUCCUUCAGCGAUGCUGACCGGUGGAAACCAGAGCAGUACCUCGUGUAUACUACGCUAUCACAUGGAUUCUCACUAUGACACCCAGGCUGGAGUGCAGUGGCACAAUCAUAGCUGACUACAGCCUCGAAUUUCUGGGCUCAAGCAAGGCUUUCAUCUCAACCUCCCCAGGAGCUGGGAUUACAGAUGGUGUCAGAAGCGGGGUUCAAAGUAGAGCUUUAAUGACCCCCAGAAGUGCUGAGUGAACAAGCAAGGUACCUGCAAGGACCCACUUGUGUCCUUUGAUCUCUCAGAGCAGUGGAUCUGCUUGCUUCCCCUUUGCCUUCUGCCAUGAUUGUAAGUUUCCUGAGGCCUCCUACAUCAUGCCUCCUGUAUAGCCUGCAGAACUUAUUUACACACAGAUGCUCCAUGAUGGGUCACAUCCAAACUUAUCAUAAAGUCAAAAAAUUCAAGAAUUAAAUUUGAAAGACCAUAUGAAGAAGCACAGUAUUUAUCCAACCAACAUUAAAAUGUCACUCUGGGAGAUUAUUUCAAAUUACUUUUAUAGUUUUGAAUGAUUUUUAAUAUUAUCAUUGAUAAACCAUCUAAGUUAUAAGUAAAAUAUUUCAAGUUUAGAAAAAAGACUGUUGGGCCAGGUGUGGUGGCUCACACCUGUAAUCCCAGCACUUUGGAAGGCCGAGGCAGGCGGAUCACCUGAGGUCAGGAGUUCAAGACCACCCUGGCCAGCAUAGUGAAACCUCAUCUCUACAAAGAUACAGAACUUAGCCGGGCAUAUUGGCGGGUGCCUGUAAUCCCAGCUACUCAGGAGGCUGAGGCGGGAGAAUGGCUUGAACCCAGGAGGCGGAGGUUGUAGUGAGCCGAGAUCACGCCACUGCACUUCAGCCUGGGCGACAGAGCGAGAUUCCAUGUCAAAAAAAAAAAAAAAAAA
ensembl:lncRNA novel transcript